rnacentral:misc_RNA from 1 species
GAUGAAGAACGAAGCGAAAUGCGAUACUUGGUGUGAAUUGCAGAAUCCCGUGAACCAUCGAGUCUUUGAACGCAAGUUGCGCCCGAAGCCAUUAGGCCGAGGGCACGCCUGCCUGGGCGUCACACGUCGUUGCCCCCCCAUCUACUCCUUCGGGAUUGCGGGGGGCGGAUGAUGGCCUCCCGUGCGCCUCGUCGCGCGGUUGGCAUAAAUACCAAGUCCUCGGCGACGCACGCCACGACAAUCGGUGGUUGCGAAACCUCGGUUGCCCGUCGUGUGCGGUCGUCGCGCAUCGAGGGCUCGAAAAAAUUGCCGGGCUCCGGCUCGGCUUUCAACGCGACCCCAGGUCAGGCGGGGUUACCCGCUGAAUUUAAGCAUAUCAAUAAGCGGAGGA